CUCCAGACUCCUACGGGAGGCAGCAGUGAGGAAUAUUGGUCAAUGGGCGGAAGCCUGAACCAGCCAAGUCGCGUGAGGGACUAAGGCCCUGCGGGUCGUAAACCUCUUUUGCCGGGGAGCAGUGGUCCGGACGCGUCCGGACCGGGAGAGUACCCGGAGAAAAAGCAUCGGCUAACUCCGUGCCAGCAGCCGCGGUAAUACGGAGGAUGCGAGCGUUAUCCGGAUUUAUUGGGUUUAAAGGGUGCGUAGGCGGAACAUUAAGUCAGCGGUAAAAUCGGGGGGCUCAACCCCUUUAAGCCGUUGAAACUGGUGCUCUUGAGUGGGCGAGAAGUAUGCGGAAUGCGUGGUGUAGCGGUGAAAUGCAUAGAUAUCACGCAGAACUCCGAUUGCGAAGGCAGCAUACCGGCGCCCGACUGACGCUGAGGCACGAAAGCGUGGGGAUCGAACAGGAUUAGAUACCCUGGUA
rnacentral:rRNA from 1 species